UGGGGAAUUUUGGGCAAUGGGCGAAAGCCUGAUCCAGCAAUGCCGCGUGUGUGAAGAAGGCCUUCGGGUUGUAAAGCACUUUUGUCCGGAAAGAAAUCCUUGGCUCUAAUACAGUCGGGGGAUGACGGUACCGGAAGAAUAAGCACCGGCUAACUACGUGCCAGCAGCCGCGGUAAUACGUAGGGUGCAAGCGUUAAUCGGAAUUACUGGGCGUAAAGCGUGCGCAGGCGGUUUGCUAAGACCGAUGUGAAAUCCCCGGGCUCAACCUGGGAACUGCAUUGGUGACUGGCAGGCUAGAGUAUGGCAGAGGGGGGUAGAAUUCCACGUGUAGCAGUGAAAUGCGUAGAGAUGUGGAGGAAUACCGAUGGCGAAGGCAGCCCCCUGGGCCAAGUACUGACGCUCAUGCACGAAAGCGUGGGGAGCAAACAGGAUUAGAUACCCCUGGUAGUCCACGCCCUAAACGAUGUCAACUAGUUGUUGGGGGAUUCAUUUUCCUUAGUAACGUAGCUAACGCGUGAAGUUGACCGCCUGGGGGAGUACGGUCGCAAGAUUAAAACUCAAA
rnacentral:rRNA from 1 species